AUCGGUGUACGAUGGGGAUGCGUUCCAUUAGGUAGUAGGCGGGGUAACGGCCCACCUAGCCGACGAUGGAUAGGGGUUCUGAGAGGAAGGUCCCCCACAUUGGAACUGAGACACGGUCCAAACUCCUACGGGAGGCAGCAGUGAGGAAUAUUGGUCAAUGGACGAGAGUCUGAACCAGCCAAGUAGCGUGAAGGAUGAAGGUCCUACGGAUUGUAAACUUCUUUUAUAAGGGAAUAAA
rnacentral:rRNA from 1 species